AGCACCUUUUGUAAUGGAAUAAAACAAAGAGCCUGGAGCUUUUAUUCUAUCGGGUUACUGAAAUCAGCUUUGGGAUCUCUGAGAUGGCAGCCAGGAGAAUGGGCACGAUGUGUCCCCGUCCUGUUCCCACGCAGCUUUGAUUUCUUCCGCCGACUCUCUGUGUUCACGUAGCUUGGAGACGCUGACUAUGAUUUUCUAAUUCUUUUUCUGUGGAUUACUUGGAGCUUCCGUCGCGGCAGAGUUGGAGAGUUAGCCUCGCCAUAAGGGGAGAAGGAAGACCUGUUACAGUGGAUUUUUCCAGGAGAAAAGAAAAAGACGAGGCACUAAAGAGAGACAACAGAGUGGAGACUCAGCAGGGUGAGAGCUCCAGCCAAAUCAGUGAACCCAAGCCUUCCCCAACAAAGGGAACUUCCUGUUUACUGGCCCUGGUCCAGGCUGGCCUUUCCUGAGCAGAGCAAGGGUCCUGGAUGCAGAGUGUUGAAACUUGAAGGCUUUUGGCUCCAUUCUAGAGCUUGUCCUGUAAAAAUAGCACCACAGCUGAAAUCAUUCCCAAAAUAAACUUGGGAGCCAUGCUGCAAGCUCAGCAGUCACUGUCUGUGCGAAGUGGGCACCGCGCUUCACUCAGGAUCCAUGGCUGCCGAGGGCACCUGCCAAGCUCAGUUGCAAAGAAAUGCUCACAGGAAAAUGUCACCGCAGGGGCGAGCUCAUUCCAGCCGACGCUGGACUUCUCAGUCUUGGCGUUGGUGGCCCAAAGAGUAAAGAGGAUGAGAAUGAGUGAGGUAUAGACGAAUAAAGAUCCUUCUUAAUAGCGAGGAACA
rnacentral:lncRNA from 1 species